rnacentral:rRNA from 1 species
CUCAUGCUGGAAGGUUCUGCCAGAGCGUGGUUGACUCAGUUACCUCCUAGCAGCAUUUACACUUGGGAAGAUCUGUCCCAAGUGUUCGUUAGAACGUUUGAAGGAACUUUCAAGCGACCGACUGGAUUGACGGAGCUGCAAGUCUACGUGCAGAAGACCAAUGAGACUCUCAGGGAGUAUAUUCAGAGAUGGAUCACUCUGCACCAUACUGUGGAGAAUGUGUCUGAUCAUCAGGCAGUCUGCGCCUUCAAAGAUGGUGUCAAGAACAGAGAAUUGAGUUUGAAAUUUGGUCGAACCGGUGACAUGACCUUGAGUCGGAUGAUGGAAAUUGCUACCAAGUACGCCAACGGCGAAGAAGAAGACCGACUCCGAAGCGGCAAACACAAGCCGAGCCAGUCGGAGAAGGGA